rnacentral:rRNA from 1 species
UACGUAGGGGGCAAGCGUUGUCCGGAUUUAUUGGGCGUAAAGCGUGCGCAGGCGGUUUUGUAAGUCUGACGUGAAAUCCCCGGGCUCAACCUGGGAAUUGCGUUGGAGACUGCAAGGCUGGAGUCUGGCAGAGGGGGGUAGAAUUCCACGUGUAGCAGUGAAAUGCGUAGAGAUGCGGAGGAACACCGAUGGCGAAGGCAGCCCCCUGGGCUGACACUGACGCUGAGGCACGAAAGCGUGGGGAGCAAACAGG